AAUCCAAUAGCCAGAAUCUAUCCAACACAGACGAUUCUGAAAACUAAGCCUGCUCCAGAAAUGGCAGCAUUUUCCUCCAUGGGACCAAAUAUCAUUACUGCAGACAUCAUUAGAGUAAGUUGUAUAAUUCUUUUUCAAAUUAUGUAUUCACAUAGGAAUUGAAUAAUCUUUGAAAUUCAAUAUCAACGACAGAAAGGGAAACCUAAGUUAGAAGGUGUUACUGCUGUAAUAUUGAAAAUGUCAAAUAGAAAAUGAAAAUAGUACUUCAUGAUCCAAAUUUUAUAUUACAGCCAGAUAUUACUGCACCUGGAGUGAACAUUUUGGCAGAAUGGUCUCCAGUAGCAAUCGAAGCAACAGCUGAACGAUCAGUUGAUUACAAUAUAAUUUCUGGAACCUCCAUGUCCUGUCCACAUGUUUCUGCUGUUGCAGCAAUUAUAAAAUCUCACCAUCCUUCUUGGAGUCCAGCAGCAAUAAUGUCUGCAAUAAUGACAACAGGCUAGCAGCUUCAUCAAUGAUAAUUUACCAAUGUCUUCUUUUCAUUAAUUUAAUUAACGUAACAAAUUUUCUAAUACUUUAUUUUGUUGCAACAGCUACAGUUCUAAAUAACAACCAACAGCAGAUUAGAAGAGAUCCAAAUGGCAGCCAGACCACACCAUUUGACAAUGGGUCUGGACACAUAAACCAGGUGGCAGCUAUGAAUCCUGGACUAAUUUAUGACUUUGAUUCCCACGACAUUAUUAAUUUCCUCUGCAGCACAGGUGCAACCCCUGGACAACUGGAAAAUCUCACAGGAGAGAUAAUUCACUGCCAAAACCCUCUCCCUCCAUCUUACAAUUUUAACUACCCAUCAAUAGGUGUUUCCAACAUGAAUGGAAGUUUAUCCAUUCAUCGAACAGUUACAUAUUACGGCGAAGGCCCAACAGUUUAUGUUGGACACGUAAAUAAUCCGACUGGUGUCAACGUUAGUGUUUCAUCUGCUGAACUCAAGUUUACAAAGACUGGGGAGAAGAUGUCUUUUAGAGUUGAUUUCAUGCCUUUCAAGAAAAUUGGUGGAAGUUUUGUGUUUGGUGAUUUGACAUGGAGCAAUGGCAUCCAUAGAGUUAGGAGUCCUAUUGGUCUGAAUGUUCUUUCCUUGUAGGAAAUAGAGUUCAGAUGCAUAUUUUGAGUUUAGAAUAUUCAAUUAUCAGAUGGGUUGUUUACAUCAUGGCCAUAACAUAUAUCAGCACAACUACUUUGAUUAUAUCAUCUUCAUCCAACUCAAAAACUAAAAAGCUGACGGGAAGACAUUUUCUUAUAGUUUGGCCAGAUGCAAGAAUGCAACUUCAGUCUGAGAUCUAAUUGAAAGUCAUUUCAGAUGAAUUUGCAAUUUAUAUAAAUAAAUUGCAAAUGAAAGCAAAAUAAAUGAAUUGGCAGAAAGACUGUGAAGUUACAACAAAAGAAUCAAACAAAUAACCUUGACUUUCAUAAUCAUGAUAGUCAUAUACCUCUUCAAGCAGCAUUUGUUUGAAGCAAAGUGGACGAAACCAUCCAACUUCAUUGAAUUAAUUUGAGUUAACUGUUGAGGUCCCUCUUGCUGCAUUAAGACGCACAUUACCUUUUCAUUAAGAAAUAAAUAAUUUCAAAGAAUCCUAUUUCAAAUAUAUACAUGUACUAGGUUAGUAAUAGCCACCAAAAAAAAUAAAUAAAUAAAAGAAGAAGAAAACCUCACGCAUACAAGAUUUGAGUUGUAUACCUUGCUUUGCAUCUAUUUCCAAUUGAAACUGUAUGCACCACUAAGAAGAAAUGUAUCUCCAUCACCUGUCGAUGGUCCUGUAGAUAAAGUAAUCCUCCAAAAAUUCAGGUUAAAUAUCCAUUAGCCAAUGGAUAGUCACCAUUAAUCCCCGCAAGAGCAUNN
rnacentral:lncRNA from 1 species